rnacentral:rRNA from 1 species
UACGGGGGGGGCAAGCGUUGUUCGGAAUUACUGGGCGUAAAGGGCGCGUAGGCGGCCUUCUAAGUCGGACGUGAAAUCCCUCGGCUUAACCGAGGAACUGCGUUCGAUACUGAAAGGCUUGAAUCCGGGAGAGGGAUGUGGAAUUCCAGGUGUAGCGGUGAAAUGCGUAGAUAUCUGGAGGAACACCGGUGGCGAAGGCGGCAUCCUGGACCGGCAUUGACGCUGAGGCGCGAAAGCUAGGGGAGCAAACGGG